GAUGAACGCUAGCGGCAGGCCUAACACAUGCAAGUCGAGGGGCAGCACGUAAAGUAGUUUACUACUUUUGGUGGCGACCGGCGCACGGGUGCGUAACGCGUAUAUAACCUGCCUCGAACAGGGGGAUAAUUCGGAGAAAUCUGGUCUAAUACCCCAUAACAACCGGGAAGGCAUCUUUCUGGUUUAAAAGCUCCGGCGGUUCGAGAUGGAUAUGCGUGACAUUAGCCAGUUGGUGAGGUAACGGCUCACCAAAGCUACGAUGUCUAGGGGGACUGAGAGGUUAACCCCCCACACUGGUACUGAGACACGGACCAGACUCCUACGGGAGGCAGCAGUGAGGAAUAUUGGUCAAUGGACGCAAGUCUGAACCAGCCAUGCCGCGUGCAGGAAGACGGCUCUAUGAGUUGUAAACUGCUUUUGUAUAAGGGUAAACCCAGGUACGUGUACCUGGCUGAAAGUACUAUACGAAUAAGGACCGGCUAACUCCGUGCCAGCCGCCGCCGUAA
rnacentral:rRNA from 1 species